rnacentral:rRNA from 1 species
UACGUAGGUGGCAAGCGUUGUCCGGAAUUAUUGGGCGUAAAGAGCGCGUAGGCGGUCCGAUAAGUCGGCUGUGAAAGUCAGGGGCUCAACCCUUGAAAGCCGGCCGAUACUGUCGGACUAGAGUCCGGAAGAGGCAAGUGGAAUUCCCGGUGUAGCGGUGAAAUGCGCAGAUAUCGGAAGGAACACCGGUGGCGAAAGCGGCGCGCUGGACCUCUUCUGACGCUGAGGCGCGAAAGCCAGGGGAGCGAACGGG